rnacentral:rRNA from 1 species
GAUGAACGCUGGCGGCGUGCCUAAUACAUGCCAGUCGAGCGAACGGACGAGAAGCUUGCUUCUCUGAUGUUAGCGGCGGACGGGUGAGUAACACGUGGAUAACCUACCUAUAAGACUGGGAUAACUUCGGGAAACCGUAGCUAAUACCGGAUAAUAUUUUGAACCGCAUGGUUCAAAAGUGAAAGACGGUCUUGCUGUCACUUAUAGAUGGAUCCGCGCUGCAUUAGCUAGUUGGUAAGGUAACGGCUUACCAAGGCAACGAUGCAUAGCCGACCUGAGAGGGUGAUCGGCCACACUGGAACUGAGACACGGUCCAGACUCCUACGGGAGGCAGCAGUAGGGAAUCUUCCGCAAUGGGCGAAAGCCUGACGGAGCAACGCCGCGUGAGUGAUGAAGGUCUUCGGAUCGUGAAACUCUGUUAUUAGGGAAGAACAUAUGUGUAAGUAACUGUGCACAUCUUGACGGUACCUAAUCAGAAAGCCACGGCUAACUACGUG